UCACUGCAUUGGGUUGGAUCCAAAACACAUUACAUUUGCUAGGCCUAUCUCUGAUGUCAUGCUUUGGGUCUAUUGGUUGAAGUAUAUUGACGACAUUAUCAUUUGGAAAUAUUGAAUACGUUUGAUAAAUUUUAGCAUUAUUUUGCAUUUAGCACUACAUAGUUUCCGUCAUUAAGAUUCAAGGAAAAAAUACAGGAAAAGAAGGUUGCGUGUACGUAUUGGAACGUGGCCUGUGAGGCGUUGUGGCGUUGCUUGGAAUCAGGAAGUGGUUGAAGGUGUAUGACACUUUUUCUGUAUUAUUAUCAGUUUAGCUAAGUUAGUUAACGUUUACGUUGUAAUCAACAUGGGGCUGUUCGGGAAAACACACGAUAAACCACCGAAAGACCUGGUAAAUGAAUGGUCACUCAAAAUCAGGAAGGAGAUGAGAGUGAUUGACAGACAAAUUCGAGGUGAGAAGAAGAGCUUCAAGGCUGUUUUAUACAUUCAGAGGGAGGAGGAGAAGGUAAAGAGAUCCAUUAAAGAUGCUGCUAAAAAGGGACACCGGGACGUGUGUGUGGUUCUUGCAAAAGAGAUGAUCCAGUCAAAGCGUGCAGUCAGCAAACUUUAUGCUUCCAAAGCCCAAAUGAACUCUGUACUACUCAGCAUGAAGAACCAGCUUUCUGUAUUGCGUGUAGCUGGGGCCCUUCAGAAGAGCACAGAGGUCAUGAAAGCCAUGCAGAGCUUAGUAAAGAUCCCAGAGAUCCAGGGCACCAUGAGGGAGCUGUCUAAGGAGAUGAUGAAGCUGUCUCAGGGACUCAGGGAUGCCGUCCAGUUUAGACUCGGGAGAGGUGAAGAUCGAGAGCCAUGGGUCCUCCGAAACACAACCCUGCCAAGCCGGCACUGCUUCUUGACACACUGCUUGCUUAACCCCGAAGCCAGCCACACCAAUGUGUCGGAGGAAACACCGUACAACUGCCGACUGUGUCGGGGUGCAUGGGCCCGACUUGCCACAGGAGUCGCUAGAGCGCGAUGGGACAAGGACAUCUCUGCCGGCCUAAACCUCCCCGAACCCGGAUGACACAGGGCCAAUUGUGCGUUGCCUCAUGGGUCUCCCGAACCCGGAUCUGUAGCGAAGCCUCAAGUGCUGCAGUGCCUUAGACCGCUGCACCACCCGGGAGGCCCCAAAGCUACAAACAGUUUAUGUUUGAAUAUAUAUUGACUGUUUAUGUUUAAAUGAGUAAAUACUGUUUGAGUAUUGAUUAUUUAUGUUGUGAGUGUCCCACAGGCUGGUAUCAUCGAGGAGAUGUUGGAGGAUACCUUUGAAAGCAUGGAGGAUGACGAUGAGAUGGAGGAGGCAGCAGAGGCAGAAGUUGAUAAGAUCCUCUUUGAGAUCACAGCAGGUGCCCUUGGCAAAGCGCCCAGCAAAGUCACAGACGCCCUUCCUGAAAUGGAGCCUCCUGCCGCAGCUGCAGCCUCAGAGGAUGAGUCGGAGGAGGACAUUGAGGAGAUGCAUUCUAGACUGGCAGCCUUAAGGAGCUAAGAUUGACCUCUUUCUGUCCCCUUAAAGUCUUUUUGCCUGCCUAAGGAUGUACAAGGUAAAUUUUGGUGUACGGUUUACCUAGUGGUUUCUCAACCACAUUUUGUCUCUUUCUUUCACAUAGUUAUUUUGGAUUAUCUUUUUGCUGUGAACUUUUCAAUGUUUAGGGCUAAAUAACACAUCAGAUCUGUUCUUAAUGGAAAGGGCAUUUUAUGGUCUUACAUGUUAACUGGGUAAACCCAGAAAUCACUCAAUGUGUGGUGUGUCUGUACACCCAACAUUUAAUAAAGAUGUAUGAAUCUCAAGAUAGCUAAAAAAUAAGAAGGACCCAUCUGUAUCUUAAAUGCUGAGUGUGGUCUGAUUCUUUUGGUCUUGUAUUUGGGGAAGUCGAGGCUUCAUUCUCCAAUUGGGUGGAUUAACUAGAGACUUACUCUGAGCCGGUCACUGACAUAUCUAAUCUGUAAUGGAAACGUCUUGCUCUACAUUGAGAAAUGAAAUGAGUGACUCAUCACAUUCAAGUGUUCAUGAAACUUGAAUCCAUCACUACUCUGAUCUAGAUCCAAAUUGAAUACAGUAUUACAAUUUAAUACGAUAUUUCAUUCACUUUCAGCAUUAUAAACACUAGAACUAAAAAGCAAACUUCUGUCAGUAGUUUGUCUCUGUACAGUACAUAUGUAUCUAUAUUAUGUUGUCUUAUAUAAAGUUGUUUGGAGGGGUAAAGAAUGCACGGAAAUUGACUAACAUAUUUUUUACAUUGAGAUCCAGCUUCCUUAACUGUAUAUUGUUGGCCUCAAAGUCCUCAUAAUUUGUUGUGCUUAUUCAGUAAAAAAUAAAAAUGAUUGGUUAGUUUUGUUUCAGA